ACGGGUAUAAAUCAACAUAUUGAUUUAUAAGCAUGGAAAUCCCCUGAGUGAAACAACGAAUUGCUGUGUGUAGUCUUUGCCCAUCUCCCACGAUGGGCUUUUUUUUAA
rnacentral:other from 1 species